rnacentral:lncRNA from 11 species
CUCCUGGCAGUAGUCUCCCUCUUGUUCUUGUUAUCCAUGAGCAAUGAGCAACGGCGGUUUGCUAAACUCAAUUUCAUGUUGGCAAGCUGGCAGGCUCUCUUCUCUUCUCUGUCUCCCCCCCCCUUCUGUGCACUUGCCCUUUUCUUUGUCAUCCCUUCUUCUGCUUUCCUUGACAUGUUACCCCAACAAAUAAAUACAACUACAAACAAGUGAAAGCUCAGUUGUGCAUAUGAAAAGUCAGGCUGGGUAGGGGGGAGCCUGAGAUUUCUGGAGCUUUUGAUCAUAUCUCAGGUAUCCAGAAUCCCAUUGUCACCUGCUGAUCUCUAGGUUGUCCUCUACUACAUUGAUCUUGACAUAUUAACAAAUAGGUCAUGGCCCUCUUGUGUUUCCAGUCUCUUUUAAUUUCCUGUAUCUCCCCUCACUUGUUUUUUAAAAAUAGCAUUUUGCUUUUCCCCUUCUCCUUUGUCAGCCCCACUAACUGAGCAGAUCAGAGAGGAAUACUGCCAGGUGAACUGCACCCCUUGACAGAUCCAUUACUUCAGAACAGCAAAGGGACAGCUGCUUUCUUCUCUCCUCCCUGCAGCAAUAAUAUUUUCCAGGUGAAUUAGGUUCAGAAGGGGAUAAAGAACUUAAAGAAGGAAAAGAAGCAGACUUCUCUAAUCAUUGGGAAGAGUCCCUGAGCUGUGAUGUAAUGUAAAGGGUCAUUAGCCGAAAGGUACUUCCCUCCACCUCUACUCUUUCUCCAUUUCCCUCUUCUAAAUCCCCCUGCUUCAGCAGAGGUUUUGUUGUGAACCCGGGCCAGAGACUUUGGGAGGAAUGAAGAUCAAAAAGGUUACUUUGGAAUGUUGGCAAAGUUUCUGACAGCUUUGGAAGACAAGAGCUACGGAAUGCGGAUGGGCAGUAGCUCCUCAAUUCUGCAGCUUACCCCAACCAGGCAUCAUAGUUGGAGAAAGUCAUUGAAAGAUUACAUAAAAGUUGUCAACAGAAAAAGGAUGGGGCCAGGGAACAGAAGGCAUGGUGAAAAGAAGCAAGGAAUGGGUCCUUGAUUGUUGGGUGAUAGUAGAAGUGCAAUGAAUUGCAAAGGCUUGGGACACCCUUUACCAGCAAUUUCAUAUUAAAUAAAUACCAUAGGAGACAAAAUAGAACCUAAUAAGGACUUUGCAGACCAGUGAGUCAAAAAGGAGUCUCCCA